AAGACAGCGAGGGUUUUGGUUUUGUGCUGAGAGGGGCCAAAGCUCAGACUCCUAUCGAGGAGUUCACACCCACCCCCGCGUUCCCCGCCCUGCAGUACCUGGAGUCAGUGGACGAGGGAGGCGUCGCCUGGAGAGCCGGUCUCAGGAUGGGGGAUUUCCUGAUAGAAGUCAACGGUCAGAACGUGGUGAAGGUCGGUCACCGAC